GACCCAUAUUUAUUCACUGCUCCAAGUUUAAAGUUUUCCCCAAUUUUAUCAUCAUCUCGACCAGCACAAUCUGAAACAAACCCUAGUUACUCCCAAUUCAAAUUGGAUCGUCGCAGAUAAUACAGAAGGCAAUCAAGAGCUCAAGGGAGCAGUUUUUAUCAAAAGAUUUCUUUGAAUUUCUCGAAAAGGUUGCUUUAUUUGAAGAAUCAUAGCCACAAUGAGGCUUAAAAGUGGGUACAAAGUGGAGGUAAUGAACACCUCGGAGGUGCCAAUCUCGUGGCAUACUGCUGAGGUACUUUCUGGAAAUGACCAUACCUACACAGUGAGAUAUGAUUCAUGUUCCAUGUUUAGAAGUCCAUCAAGGGAGGUGAAAAUUCCUAGGAAGCUUAUUAGACCUUGCCCCCCUCCAGUCCAAAGUGGAGAAAAUUGGGUAGUUGGUGACCUUGUGGAGGUAUGUGUAUCUAAUGAAGAAUACUCAUGGAAAGUUGCAUGUGUUCUCAAGGUUUUGAGAGGAGAUCAUUAUUUGGUGAGACUACUUGGAUGCUCUCAAGAAUUUUCCAUCCACAGAUCACAGAUGAGAAGCCGACAAUAUUGGCAGGAUGGAAAAUGGGUUUUGCUGCCUAAGGGUUCUGGAAAUUUUGGAGCUCUAAAAUCACGUAAAUUAUCAUCCUAUACUUGUCAUAAAAAGUUGAACUUCCAGUCACCGUCAUCUGAUCAUUGGGCUAAUGUUCGUGGAGGAAAGGAGUGUUUUGUCCCUGAAGACAUCACUAGAUUGCAGGACUCUCAUGGGGUCUCUUCAAGAUCCUUGAAGCGGGAGUCUCCUUACUACUCAUCCACUGUUGAAUCAUACCCUGGAAACUCUCAGAAGCUAAGAGACUUGGAGACAAAUUGCAAGAGACAAAGACUAGUAGCUCCAUCACAAUCACUUGAAAAGGUAGACGCUGUUGCUUACCCAAGAGAAACACUGGGUGAAAAAUACAUGCAUGCUUCCUUUAAUGUUAUAUCAAAUGGAUGUAAUGAAAUGUACGAAGAAAAACUACAUGGUGUCUUUUGUCAUUCCUCAUCGACAACCUCAGAAUUUAGUGAUUCUGAUAGUGGUAGCUCUGUUGGUAGUUGUAGUGUUGUUAGCAAUAGUCCAAUUAAUCCUGGUUUACAUUUUGUUCCAGUUCAUCGUAAAGUGUCAGAUGCCCUUGUCAGUGAUGCAGAGUCGGUUUGUCCUUUAGGAGAUGAGGAUUCAAGUCAUUCCCCUCUUCCAGAUGAUGGUUUGGGCGAAACUAUUCAUAGGUUAGAGUUGCGUGCUUAUCGCUGCACUCUGCAGGCAUUAUAUGCUUCUGGACCCUUAACUUGGGAAAAAGAAGCAUUAUUAACAAAUCUCCUUACUGAACUCCAUAUUUCAGAUGAUGAACAUUUGAGAGAGUUAAAACACCUAAUAUCUGCUAAGGCAUCAUAUGAUACUUAAGGUUCAUGUCUCUUCUGUUCUAGUUGGGGACACUGGUGGAUGCAUGAUGCGUCCCUUUCUUCCGUAAUUCAAAAGUGAUGCCUGGGGUUACCAGCCAUUCUAUUGGAACAUACCACAGGACAAUGCAUCCAUCCAAAUUUCCACACAAUAUGUUCGAUCCCUGGUGCUGAGACUGGAGAAAGUGUGGGUAAGAGUUGAAUGCUUUUCUUGUUUUCUGGGAAUCUCCAAAGUAGAAAGAACGUGCCUUUGUCAAGCAUCAUGGCUCCGUUGAAAUCUUUCUAUUUCCUUCUGCAAAAUGCCUGCUUUUUGUAGAUUAAUUCUUUGCCUCUUUUACUUUUUGCUCUUGAAUGUACCUAUAUUGGAUGUUCAAAUUCAGUGAGAUUAAUGUCAACUUGUGCCCCUUUCAAAA